UAUUUGGAAGGAGAGAUGUAUACAUUUACCACCAUACAAGUUCUCUGAGGCUUUAAAGCGUUGUAAGAAUGCUAUAUCUUGCUGGCAAUCUACUCAAGACUACUACUCUCACAAGAAGAUUGUGCAGUUUCAAGAAGCCCUUCAAAAAGAAAACCAAAUGGAAGCAAUUAUUCAGAACAUACAACCAAAAGUCUCAUCUGAAAUGAACCAAAGACUCACAAAACCAUUCACUGAAGAAGAUAUCUGUCAAGCGCUUUCACAGAUAAAUGAGAACAAAGCGCCAGGCCCUGAUGGUUUCAGUGCAGGCUUCUACAAAUUUCAUUGGAAAACAAUAAAAUCAGAUAAAUGGUGCCUUUGGGUAAAGCAAUGCAUUGAAUCGGUAACAUAUUCGGUUCUCAUUAACGGAUCUCCCACGGAAACGAUAUAUCCAC